ACGCUCGACACCUACGGGAGCAGCAGUGGGGAAUAUUGGGCAAUGGGCGAAAGCCUGACCCAGCAACGCCGCGUGAGGGAAGAAGGUUUUCGGAUUGUAAACCUCUGUCCUCAGGGACGAAGGACGUGACGGUACCUGAGGAGGAAGCCCCGGCUAACUACGUGCCAGCAGCCGCGGUAAUCUGAGGCGGGCGUGGCGAAGGCG
rnacentral:rRNA from 1 species